rnacentral:rRNA from 1 species
CCUACGGGGGCUGCAGUGGGGAAUAUUGGACAAUGGGCGAAAGCCUGAUCCAGCCAUGCCGCGUGUGUGAAGAAGGCCUUCGGGUUGUAAAGCACUUUCAGUGGGGAAGAAAGCCUUGGGGCUAAUACCCUCGAGGAAGGACAUCACCCACAGAAGAAGCACCGGCUAACUCCGUGCCAGCAGCCGCGGUAAUACGGAGGGUGCGAGCAUUAAUCGGAAUUACUGGGCGUAAAGCGCGCGUAGGCGGUCUGAUAAGCCGGUUGUGAAAGCCCCGGGCUCAACCUGGGAACGGCAUCCGGAACUGUCAGGCUAGAGUGCAGGAGAGGAAGGUAGAAUUCCCGGUGUAGCGGUGAAAUGCGUAGAGAUCGGGAGGAAUACCAGUGGCGAAGGCGGCCUUCUGGACUGACACUGACGCUGAGGUGCGAAAGCGUGGGUAGCAAACAGGAUUAGAUACCCCAGUAGUC